rnacentral:lncRNA from 1 species
AUGACCCAGAGGGCUGGGGCUGCCAUGCUGCCUUCAGCUCUGCUCCUUCUCUCCAGGCUGUCUGACUGUGAGUGGCCCCAGCACCGUGAUGGGCGCCGUGGGGGAAUCCCUGAGUGUUCAGUGUCGGUAUGAAGAGAAAUACAAGACGUUUAACAAAUACUGGUGCAGACAACCAUGCUUGCCAAUUUGGCAUGAAAUGGUGGAGACCGGAGGGUCUGAGGGAGUGGUGAGGAGUGACCAAGUGAUCAUCACGGACCAUCCUGGAGACCUCACCUUCACCGUGACCUUGGAGAACCUCACGGCAGACGAUGCAGGAAAAUACCGAUGUGGGAUUCCUCCAGUACUGAGAACUCUGUGAAGACACCUGCAUCUCCCACCUCUCCGUCUCACAGGUCCCUGCCCAGCAGCACCUGCUUCCUGCUUCUCCCACUCCUGAAGGUGCCUCUGCUCCUGAGCAUACUCGGUGCUAUCCUCUGGGUGAACAGGCCUUGGAGGACUCCU